GAGGCCUCGAGGAGGAGCCGCGCAAGGUCAAGGGAGCUGUUCACCGAGGCACGGGUUCCUCAUGAGCAGAAAACACCAUGAAAACGCCGUGGGAACCAAAGCUGGGGAGAGAAGCCUGAACUGUAAUUGAUGAAUCGCUGGAGGCUCAAUGUGGACAAACUUGAGAGAUAAAAACCCCAGGGGGACCCAGUCAUGGGGAUGGAGCACAAUAUUUUCCCAGCUGAG